rnacentral:rRNA from 1 species
AUUGAACGCUGGCGGCAGGCUUAACACAUGCAAGUCGAGCGGGGUGAUGGUGCUUGCACUAUCACUUAGCGGCGGACGGGUGAGUAAUGCUUAGGAAUCUGCCUAUUAGUGGGGGACAACAUCUCGAAAGGGAUGCUAAUACCGCAUACGUCCUACGGGAGAAAGCAGGGGAUCACUUGUGACCUUGCGCUAAUAGAUGAGCCUAAGUCGGAUUAGCUAGUUGGUGGGGUAAAGGCCUACCAAGGCGACGAUCUGUAGCGGGUCUGAGAGGAUGCACCGCCACAGUGGGACGGAGACACGGCACAGACGCAGACGGGAGGCAGCAGUCGGGAGUAGUGGACAAUGGCGGGAACCCUGAUCCAGCCAUGCCGCAUGUGUGAAGAAGGCCUUCGGGUUGUACAGCUCUUGUGGCCGGGAAGAAAUCGCACGGGCUAAUACCCUGUGUGGAUGACGGUACCGGAAUAAGAAGCACCGGCUAACUACGUGCCAGCCGCCGCAGUAA